rnacentral:snRNA from 1 species
UGUUCACUUGGGCAGCACAAAACUAACACUGAAGCAAUAUGAGGAGGUUAGUGUUGCCCUUGCCCAAAGAUGACACACAAAUUCAUGAAGCAUUCCAUAUUUUU